rnacentral:rRNA from 1 species
UACGUAGGGUGCAAGCGUUGUCCGGAAUUAUUGGGCGUAAAGAGCUCGUAGGCGGUUUGUCGCGUCGGCUGUGAAAACUGGAGGCUUAACCUUCAGCGUGCAGUCGAUACAGGCAGACUUGAGUUCGGUAGGGGAGACUGGAAUUCCUGGUGUAGCGGUGAAAUGCGCAGAUAUCAGGAGGAACACCGGUGGCGAAGGCGGGUCUCUGGGCCGAUACUGACGCUGAGGAGCGAAAGCGUGGGGAGCGAACAGG